rnacentral:lncRNA from 1 species
CAAAGCUUCUGAACAGCAUUUGUCACUCCCUCCUGAGAGAUCCUGUAACUCUUGGUAUGUUCAUUCAUUCCAGAAACAUUUUUUUGAGUGCCUACUCUGUGCCAGGCACUGGGCUAGGCUAGAGAAUGUGGACUCUCUAUAACCGUGGCUUUUACGGGACAAUGUCUCCCAAGGCCCUGCUCCGGGCGGGAGACGCUCACCAGCUUCCUGUCCUGGCCGGUGGGGCAGAGGUUCCCCCAGCUCCUCUCCAGGAACAGCCCCGUUCCCACAGAGCCCGGAACUCACAUUUGCAGGGCAGCGCUGCCUGUGCCAAACAAAGUUCCCGCAAAGUUCUGUUCUCUCCAGAACGAGGACACUUGCUGGUGUGCCCAGGAGACAGAGUCCCAGGAUAAACGUGUCGUGUCUUUCUAGAAUGUUAAUUUCACUCAAGGAUUUGGAAGGGAAAGUUAAUUAGUGUAAGCUGAAAAGAAGACCUCAGAGAAUGUCGCGUUUGGAGCUUCACCGCGAGAUUCCUCAGACCUGGCCUCCCCUCUUCUGUCUUCGGAAGCUCUUGCUGGGAAGUCUGGGAGUGGAAGCCUGUUAGCUGAGGCCCAAGCAAGCUGACUGCUCCAGGGCCUGUUCCACACAAGCUUUGCCAUCGGUCUUUCUUUGUAAAUUUGAAAUGGAAACCGAGAGGAGCUGGUGUCUGGAAAUCAUAAAGGUGGGAAUCUGUCAGGAGCACAUUUCUUGCCCCGGGGACCAGAGAAGCAGAGGAACCUAACCUGCAGAGGGAGAUGGUGGAGCCUGAAUCCGGCACUGGAGAAGGUUGGGGGGCAAGAAAAGGCGAGUCCCCAAGCCUUCACGUCCACGGUUCUCUGUGUGCUGGGACUUCAGCUGUGUUCCUGAUUCCGUGUGUCUCGAGAACAUCCUAUGUCCUUAGAAUAAAUUCUCCUUAAGCUGUCUUGACUUGGGCUUCUGUCCCCUGCAGUCCAAGGGGUCCUAGAAUGCCUGAAAUGGGCCUGAUCCUGGAACGGUUUGUUUCCAAAGCCUUCUCUUGGUUUAUCACAAAAAGGGCCAGAACGUUGUUUCGGCUCAGCAUUGUGUCUCAAAGGGCAAAUGGAGUGUGC